rnacentral:rRNA from 1 species
AGACCUACAGCUAAGGUCCCAAAUGUAUGCUAAGUGGAAAACGAUGUGGAGUUGCAAAAACAACCAGGAUGUUGGCUUAGAAGCAGCCAUUCAUUAAAAGAGUUCGUAAUAGAUCACUGGUCGAGUGACUCUGCGCGGAAAAUAUAACGGGGCUAAGCAUGCAACCGAAGCUUAGGAUUGUCGAAAGACAGUGGUAGGGGAGCGUCGUGUACGGGGUGAAGUCUGAGCGGAAGCACAGGUGGACUGUACAGGAGUGAGAAUGCCGGAAUGAGUAGCGAGAAUUAUGUGGGAAUCAUAAUGGCCGAAAAUCUAAGGUUUCUUGGGGAAGGUUCGUCCGCCCAAGGUAAGCCGGGAGCUAAGGCGAGGCCGCAAGGCGUAGUCGAUGCACAUACGGUAGAAAUUCCGUAGCCACCGAACUUUAAACCAGAAGGACACUUGCAGAUAGCGGAACCCAGCCGUUGGUUGAGCUGGGCGAAAGGGACUGAAAUAUAGUAGGGAAGUCCGCGAUGCUGUGAGGCGAGAAAAGCUCUGGUGUAUACUAAGGUGCCCGUACCGCAAACCGACACAGGUAGAUGAGGAGAGAAUCCUAAGGCCAACGGGAGAAGGGUUGUUAAGGAACUCGGCAAAUUGACCCCGUAACUUCGGAAGAAGGGGAGCCUCGAAAGAGGCCGCAGUGAAUAGGCCCAAGCAACUGUUUACCAAAAACACAGGUCUAUGCUAAAUCGAAAGAUGACGUAUAUGGGCUGACGCCUGCCCGGUGCCGGAAGGUUAAGAGGAGAGCUUAGCGCAAGCGAAGGUUUGAAUUGAAGCCCCGGUAAACGGCGGCCGUAACUAUAACGGUCCUAAGGUAGCGAAAUUCCUUGUCAGGUAAGUUCUGACCCGCACGAAUGGCGUAAUGAUUUGGGCACUGUCUCAACAGCCCGCCCGGCGAAAUUGUAGUACUGGUGAAGAUGCCAGUUACCCGCAACUAGACGGAAAGACCCCAUGGAGCUUUACUGCAGUUUAAUACUGGGAAUCGGUAAUUCAUGUACAGGAUAGGUGGGAGACUGAGAAGCACGGCCGUCAGGUCGUGUGGAGUCACCGGUGGGAUACCACUCUUGGAUUGCUGGUUUCCUAACCUGCGGCCCUGAAUCGGGUCGGGGGACACUGUUAGACGGGCAGUUUGACUGGGGCGGUCGCCUCCAAAAGAGUAACGGAGGCGCUCAAAGGUUCGUUCAGCACGGACGGAAAUCGUGCAUUGAGUGUAAACGCAUAAACGAGCCUAACUGCGAGACCGACGGGUCGAGCAGUAACGAAAGUUGGAGUUAGUGAUCCGGUGGUAUGUGAGUGGAAAUGCCAUCGCUCAACGGAUAAAAGCUACCCUGGGGAUAACAGGCUGAUCUCCCCCAAGCGU